rnacentral:rRNA from 1 species
UACGAAGGGGGCUAGCGUUGUUCGGAAUCACUGGGCGUAAAGGGCGCGUAGGCGGCCGAUCAAGUCGGGGGUGAAAGCCUGUGGCUCAACCACAGAAUUGCCUUCGAUACUGUUUGGCUUGAGACCGGAAGAGGUUAGUGGAGCUGCGAGUGUAGAGGUGGAAUUCGUAGAUAUUCGCAAGAACACCAGUGGCGAAGGCGGCUGACUGGUCCGGUUCUGACGCUGAGGCGCGAAAGCGUGGGGAGCAAGCAGG